GUGCAGGUGUAUGAGGUAAUUGAGGUAGAUAUAUACAUAUAGGUAGGGAUAAAGUGACUAGGCAACGGCAUAGAUAAUAGUAGCGGCAGAUAAACAGUAAAAGCAGCGUAUGUGAUGAAUCAAAAGAGUUAGUGCAAAAAGGGCUGAAUAAAGAUAGUGUGGGUAGUCUGGGUGAAACAGUUUCAUGUCAGUUUCAACCAGCCUCAUAGAUGAAGCUGUUGGAAUGCAUGCCUCAAAGUUCAUGGUCGAAAAAGUAUUCAGGAAGAACAAGUGUAAAAAAAAAAAAAAAAACUGCAAAACUUGUUUGCCGUCUGAUUGUCAAAGAACAGUCUGUGCAGUACUUGUUUCAUACACAUGGAACCAGUCCUGUGAGGCAGAGCUCACUUUCGACAUUUCCAGUUUAAAAAAAAGACUGCUUACUUCUUCAUUUCAGCGUUGGAUGUCUGUUUUGACUGGAUUACCUACUUCUUCAUAUUUUUGGGAGAAUUGUUUACUUUGGUUAUAAUAUCUAAUUUAAAGGUAACAGUCUCUAAAGACUGCAGAACUUUUUUUGUUGUGAUUUCUGUUUUUGAGUGGUUCCUUGCAUCAGAGGCUAUUUGAGAAGGCUCACACACAGGUCGAUAUCACUGUUCCAUUUCCAGAGAUAUUUUUCAACAGGUUUUGGAGCAGAUUUGGGUGAUAGCAGAUUUGUUGCUCAAUACAUAGAAGCAAACCUUUGAUUUGACUUUAAAGCAAGUAUACCCUUACGGAAAAACCACAUGAAUUUCACAUGUGAACACAUGUGAAGUGUUCCAAAAACAUGUUUUCAUGUGAUCUUAUGUGAAGGUAAUGUGAUAACAUGUAAAGCAACAUGUGACACAUGUUUUCACAUGACUUCAAGUGUGACAUUUCAUGUGAAAGCAUGUGAUUUUCCACUUGUGAAGUCAUGUGGUUUUUCUGUAAGUGUAGUUUACGAUCUGUCUGUAUUAACCAAUUUGGCUUAUUACCACAGUUAUAGACAGUGUUGUACAACCUUUGGCCUCAAGUUGAAUCUGUCAAGUUGAAUCUGUUUUGCUCCAAAUACUUGUCUGUAUAUGGUCACGUGGGUCACAUGAUGUUAAAACAAGCAAAUGGGGUCUGAGAGACUUAUCAGAAGGGAAGGUUAAAGGUCAACUGAGACAACACAGUGACUUUGGAUACACCAUAUAUGUUCCAGGAAUGGGUAGACUCUGACAUUAUUGAGACCGGGUGAGAUAUUAGAACUACACAUAUUUACAUUCAGAUUCUGAUCUGCUCAAGCAUGUGCCAGUAACUUUGCCCUCGACAAGGAAGAAAAACGAAAUGAUUUGCGUGAGCUAAGGUAGAUCAUCGAACAAUCUGAGAGAUAAGGUUGCCAUUUCGGGCUCCUUGUUAUUCUGCUGUGAAUCCAGUACUUUAUAAAUCAGUACAGUAUACUAUAUCUCGAUGAAUGAGGGUAAAUACCACCACUGAACACGAUUGGAUAUGCAAACCGGUGAUGAUUCUGGAUUAGGCCAGCACCAUGGAGACACUCGGUAGCAAGAGAGAGAUGGCACUUCCAUCCCGAAGCUCUUCCCAGGCAAUAGGAGCUCUGACCCUGAGCUCUUCCCAGGCAAUAGGAGCUCCGACCGUGAGCUCUUCCCAGGCUAUAGGAGCUCUGACCGUGAGCUCUUCCCAGGUAAUAGGAGCUCCGACCCUGAGCUCUUCCCAGG